CCUACGGGAGGCAGCAGUGGGGAAUAUUGGACAAUGGGGGGAACCCUGAUCCAGCCAUGCCGCGUGUGUGAAGAAGGCCCUCGGGUUGUAAAGCACUUUCAGUGAGGAAGAACGCCUGGUGGUUAAUACCCAUCAGGAAAGACAUCACUCACAGAAGAAGCACCGGCUAACUCCGUGCCAGCAGCCGCGGUAAUACGGAGGGUGCGAGCGUUAUUCGGAAUUACUGGGCGUAAAGCGCGCGUAGGUGGCUUGAUAAGCCGGUUGUGAAAGCCCCGGGCUCAACCUGGGAACGGCAUCCGGAACUGUCAAGCUAGAGUGCAGGAGAGGAAGGUAGAAUUCCCGGUGUAGCGGUGAAAUGCGUAGAGAUCGGGAGGAAUACCAGUGGCGAAGGCGGCCUUCUGGACUGACACUGACACUGAGGUGCGAAAGCGUGGGUAGCAAACAGGAUUAGAUACCCGAGUAGUC
rnacentral:rRNA from 1 species